AGAACUGAAGAGAACAUCUCGGACAGUGCACCGUGUCCUCCUGGAAGAGCUCAGCAACCACCAGCACAAAGCAGAACCAGCAUGUGGAGGACCCAUCACUGGGCUGCAGACCAUCCAGGCUUCCAAUAGCUACUGAGAACCAUGGGAUUCACCAGCUGUUCCCAUAGCUACAGCUCAGUCCCCCGAGGUGUCCCUGCUUGGUCAUUCUCCUCUCCCUGCAAAUGCAGAGGGAGCGUUUGUUCCUCUUCAGCCUCACAGCAGCGUGAAGGAAUCUCUGAGCACUAUGGGGUCUUUGCUCUUCAUGGAAAGCAGCAAUCUGCUCUUUUCUCGCUGGAUUUUUCACUCUUGUUGUGGAAAAUGCUUCCCUUUCUCACCUUGGAGGAGGGAAAUAUAAAUAUUGAAAUAAAAAGGCCACAUUUCUAGAGAAGCCAACUGUCUCCACAUAACCUAUGUAUUAGCCUCAAUGAAUCUGAAAAUACAGUAAGGCUGAUCUGAAAGUACUGCCUCCUGUUUUAUUAUAUUGGCCCACAGUGCCAGAAACAGAUGUUGGUGGGAUGGCAGCAGAGGCUGAACCUCCCCACCAAUAUCCCAUUGUGUUGUUGCUGUGUGACAGAUGGCAGCAGAGGGCACUUUGGCAGAAUGGCACCUGACCUGGG
rnacentral:lncRNA from 1 species